UACGUAGGGUGCGAGCGUUGUCCGGAAUUACUGGGCGUAAAGCGUGCGCAGGCGGUUUGUAAGCCAGAUGUGAAAUCCCCGGGCUUAACCUGGGAAUGGCAUUUGGGACUGCAAGGCUCGAGUGCGGCAGAGGAGACUGGAAUUCCUGGUGUAGCAGUGAAAUGCGUAGAUAUCAGGAGGAACACCGAUGGCGAAGGCAGGUCUCUGGGCUGACACUGACGCUCAUGCACGGAAAGCGUGG
rnacentral:rRNA from 1 species